UUGGUCAAAAAGUUUGUUUGGGUUUUUCCAGUUGAUGUUGAAAAACCUGAACGAACUUUUUGGCCAACC
rnacentral:miRNA from 1 species